GCGAGGCGCGGGAGGGCCCGGACUCCUGGGUUCCCUGCUUGGGCUGGGGUGGGGAGCCUGGAUGCCUGGGUUCUCAGUGGACGGGGAAGCAGAGGGCAGCUGGAGUGCUGAGCCCGGACGCCUGGGUUCUCAGCUUGGGGAGGGAGAAGGGCUGAAGUGCUGAGCCCGGACGCCUGCGUUCUCAGCUUGGGGAGGGGAAGUGGGGAGCCCUGCCCCAGGCAGGUGGUUCGACCCCGUUUCCCCCCUGCCGCGGGCUGGGCUGGGCAGGCGGGCAGGGGCCAAGCACUGACUCUCUCC